rnacentral:sRNA from 1 species
GCCACGGCUAGGCCCGCCUCGAAACCGGGCCGAAAAGCGGGAAUCCCUCGCCUGCCUGCCGUGGCUCCCGUUCCGAGGG